AAUGAAACUCAAAGGAAUUGACGGGGGCCCGCACAAGCGGUGGAGCAUGUGGUUUAAUUCGAAGCAACGCGAAGAACCUUACCAGGUCUUGACAUACUCAUAAAGGCUCCAGAGAUGGAGAGAUAGCUAUAUGAGAUACAGGUGGUGCAUGGUUGUCGUCAGCUCGUGUCGUGAGAUGUUGGGUUAAGUCCCGCAACGAGCGCAACCCUUAUCGUUAGUUACCAUCAUUAAGUUGGGGACUCUAGCGAGACUGCCAGUGACAAGCUGGAGGAAGGCGGGGAUGACGUCAAAUCAUCAUGCCCCUUAUGACCUGGGCUACACACGUGCUACAAUGGAUGGUGCAGAGGGAAGCGAGGCCGCGAGGUGAAGCAAAACCCAUAAAACCAUUCUCAGUUCGGAUUGUAGUCUGCAACUCGACUACAUGAAGUUGGAAUCGCUAGUAAUCGCGAAUCAGCAUGUCGCGGUGAAUACGUUCUCGGGCCUUGUACACACCGCCCGUC
rnacentral:rRNA from 1 species